CCCUAAGUCUGGGGUUCCCAAAGGGCUGCAGCUCUUCUCUCCUCCUCAUCAUCCACAAUGUGGUGAGCAGGGGGCAUGUUUCAGCUCUGUUUGUGUUACAGCUCUUUCAGUCCCACCAUUCAACAGUCCCCAAGUUCUUGUCCCACAUCCAGGAAGAAUGAAGUACGUAGACAACUGGAGGGUGAGCAAGGUGGAGAGCUUCAUUGAGCAACAGACCAGCUCUCAGGAGACCCAAAGAGGAUUGCUCCUUUCCGCAGCUGGUAGUCCUGAUGUCUACUUGGUGAUUUCAAUCCAUCUUCUAAGUACAGACAAUGGGAACACCCAUCUCCUAAGAUAACCAGGGAAUGCAGCUGUCCCAGGAGCCAUCCUGGAGGAGCAUGUGAAAGAGAAUUGCAGAAUGAAGUAAAGCUGGAAGAACAUAUACUUUCAAACCAGGGCUCUCUGGGUUGGAAUCCAGAUUCUAAGAGACACUCAUCACAGCCUCUGGAAAUUUAGAGUUGAAAGUGGUCUUUAAAUGCCUUCUGGAGAUCCUUAUGAAGUCCAGGGAAUUUUGCCUAUGGGCAGUGUCAAGGCCUUUAUCCUGUCUGAGCUCCCAGUCCACCACUCCACUACCACAUACCCCCAGCUCUCUGCCUGCUGUUAUCUGAAUGUUUAUGUCCUCUCAGUAUUCCUAUGUUGAAACCUAGCUUCCAAGGCGAUUGCUUUAGGAGGUGGGGACUUUGGGAGGUGAUUAGGUCAUAUGCACAAAGCUCUCAUGAAUGGGAUUGGUGCCCUUAGGAAAGAGACCUCAGAGAGCUUAGCUCACCCCCGCCAUUUUCUGAGAACACAGCAAGAAGGCACCAUCUAUGAACCAAAAAAUGAGUCCUCAACAGACGCUGAAUCUGCCAGCACCUUGAUCUUGGACUUCAGCUUC
rnacentral:lncRNA from 10 species